rnacentral:rRNA from 2 species
UCAAGGCAUGCUCGUACGGCGAGUGAGCGGCAAAAGCUCAAAUUUGGAAUCUGGCGCCUUCGGCGUCCGAGUUGUUGUAAUUUGAAGACUCUAUCUUGGAAUGCGGGCGCUGUUGAAGUUCCUUGGAACAGGACGUCACAGAGGGUGAGAAUCCCGUGCGAUGGCAGCCGCGGACCGUGUAAGUUAGUGUCUACGAGUCAAGUUGUUUGGGAAUGCAGCUCUAAGUGGGUGGUAAACUCCAUCUAAAGCUAAAUAUUGGCGAGAGACCGAUAGCGAACAAGUACAGUGAUGGAAAGAUGAAAAGAACUUUGAAAAGAGAGUGAAAAAGUACGUGAAAUUGUUGAAAGGGAAGGGCUUGAGAUCAGACAUGCCUUCGGGCAGGCCAGCAUCAGCUGGAAGGGGCAGACAAGGGCGCCGCAAUGUGGCCUGGUUCGGCGAGGUGUUAUAGGCGGCGUCAAUGUGUCCACUUCCGGCUGAGGACCGCGCUUCGGCAAGGAUGCUGGCGUAAUGAUCCCCAGCCGCCCGUCUUGAAAACCACGUUCGAGCUUAGGAUGUUGACAUGAUGCUUUAAACGACCCGUCUUGAAGCAACCA